UCCCACUAAUAUUUUGUUCUCUCUCACCCCUGGCCAACAAAAGAACUUGGAGCCCCUUCAGUUCUCAGAUACAGGCAGUGAGGGCGGGCAGAGGGACGAACCACCAUAUGCCUACCUGCUGCACCGGCUUCCUUAGGCAGCGGCUCCCACUUGCUUCCGCGGAAGAAACAUCACCAGCCGUGGGGGCCGGCCGAAAGAGGGGCCACCGGAAGUGCCUACCGCCUCACCCGCUUCCCCCGUCAGCACCUCGCCGUGGCUACCUCAGAAGAAAUGUUGCCACAGAACGGCUGUGGGCGGCGAAGUCACUGCGUUUACUCAGUUCUCAACAGCCGGAACAUAGCCGCUGUCCGCAGAAAAGAUAUGUGAACAACGUCCAUUGAUAUAUAUGAUGAAUAGCAGCUGAUGGCUGUGACCUGUUAAGACAGGCUAAUGGCAUCUUAGUUGUGGUGACUUGACUAGCUGGCCCCCUACUACAUUUGCAGAUUUGUGAUCAUCUUCUGAGUACUUUAAUACAUGAAGCCCUGCAGAAGACACUCUCAAGAUCAGUGAGGUCACCACAUAUGAAGGUGUGUUUCUGCUAUUGAAUCAGUCAGAAGUUUUGAAGAGUGCUCAUAUGCCUCACAAUAUGCUGAGCUGAAGAUGAUCGGCCAAGUCUUGGCUUCUUUGAGAGCUUAAACCCUUUAAACUCGCUGCUCCUUCCAGCUGGCAGGUCAGCACAGUGAGCAGACACUGCAGGUUUCUGCUUAGUUAAGUUUCCACAAAUGCGCCUCUGCUUAUUCUAGUGAGGAAGGGGGAAGAGUAUCUGCCCCGUGAACAAUU